GAGUUUGAUCAUGGCUCAGAUUGAACGCUGGCGGCAUGCCUUACACAUGCAAGUCGAACGGCAGCAUGAUCUAGCUUGCUAGAUUGAUGGCGAGUGGCGAACGGGUGAGUAAUACAUCGGAACGUGCCCUGUAGUGGGGGAUAACUAGUCGAAAGAUUAGCUAAUACCGCAUACGACCUGAGGGUGAAAGUGGGGGACCGCAAGGCCUCAUGCUAUGGGAGCGGCCGAUGUCUGAUUAGCUAGUUGGUGGGGUAAAGGCCCACCAAGGCGACGAUCAGUAGCUGGUCUGAGAGGACGAUCAGCCACACUGGGACUGAGACACGGCCCAGACUCCUACGGGAGGCAGCAGUGGGGAAUUUUGGACAAGUGGGCGAAAGCCUGAUCCAGCAAUGCCGCGUGUGUGAAGAAGGCCUCGGUU
rnacentral:rRNA from 1 species